rnacentral:rRNA from 1 species
GCAAGUCGAACGAUGAAGCCCAGCUUGCUGGGUGGAUUAGUGGCGAACGGGUGAGUAACACGUGAGUAACCUGCCCCUGACUCUGGGAUAAGCCCGGGAAACUGGGUCUAAUACCGGAUAUGACUUUUGACCGCAUGGUUGAGGGUGGAAAGAUUUAUCGGUUGGGGAUGGACUCGCGGCCUAUCAGCUUGUUGGUGAGGUAAUGGCUCACCAAGGCGACGACGGGUAGCCGGCCUGAGAGGGUGACCGGCCACACUGGGACUGAGACACGGCCCAGACUCCUACGGGAGGCAGCAGUGGGGAAUAUUGCACAAUGGGCGCAAGCCUGAUGCAGCGACGCCGCGUGAGGGAUGACGGCCUUCGGGUUGUAAACCUCUUUCAGUAGGGAAGAAGCGAAAGUGACGGUACCUGCAGAAGAAGCGCCGGCUAACUACGUGCCAGCAGCCGCGGUAAUACGUAGGGCGCAAGCGUUAUCCGGAUUUAUUGGGCGUAAAGAGCUCGUAGGCGGUUUGUCGCGUCUAUCGUGAAAGUCCGAGGCUCAACCUCGGAUCUGCGGUGGGUACGGGCAGACUAGAGUGAUGUAGGGGAGACUGGAAUUCCUGGUGUAGCGGUGAAAUGCGCAGAUAUCAGGAGGAACACCGAUGGCGAAGGCAGGUCUCUGGGCAUUUACUGACGCUGAGGAGCGAAAGCAUGGGGAGCGAACAGGAUUAGAUACCCUGGUAG